UUCCGGUUGAUCCUGCCGGACCUGACUGCUAUCGGAUUGAUACUAAGCCAUGCGAGUCUUUGUAGCAAUACAAGGCAUACGGCUCAGUAACACGUAGUCAAUCUACCCUAUGGACGGGGAUAANCUCGGGAAACUGAGAAUAAUACCCGAUAGAUCAUAAUGCCUGGAAUGGUUUAUGGUUCAAAUGAUUUUUCGCCAUAGGAUGGGACUGCGGUCUAUCAGCUUGUUGGUGAGGUAAUGGCCCACCAAGGCUAUAACAGAUACGGGCUCUGAGAGGAGAAGCCCGGAGAUGGGUACUGAGACACGGACCCAGGCCCUAUGGGGCGCAGCAGGCGAGAAAACUUUGCAAUGUGCGAAAGCACGACAAGGUUAAUCCGAGUGGUUUCUGCUAAAGGAACCUUUUGACAGUCCUAGAAACACUGUUGAAUAAGGGGUGGGCAAGUUCUGGUGUCAGCCGCCGCGGUAAAACCAGCACCUCAAGUGGUCAGGAUGAUUAUUGGGCCUAAAGCAUCCGUAGCCGGUUUUGUAAGUUUUCGGUUAAAUCCAUACGCUCAACGUAUGGGCUGCCGGGAAUACUGCAAAACUAGGGAGUGGGAGAGGUAGACGGUACUCGGGAGGAAGGGGUAAAAUCCUUUGAUCUCUCGAUGACCACCUGUGGCGAAGGCGGUCUACCAGAACACGUCCGACGGUGAGGGAUGAAAGCUGGGGGAGCAAACCGGAUUAGAUACCCGGGUAGUCCCAGCUGUAAACUAUGCAAACUCGGUGAUGCAUUGGCUUGAUGCCAAUGCAGUGCCGCAGGGAAGCCGUUAAGUUUGCCGCCUGGGAAGUACGUACGCAAGUAUGAAACUUAAAGGAAUUGGCGGGGGAGCACCACAAGGGGUGAAGCCUGCGGUUCAAUUGGAGUCAACGCCGGGA
rnacentral:rRNA from 1 species